AACGUAGGACGCAAGCGUUAUCCGGAGUUACUGGGCGUAAAGCGCGGGCAGGCGGUCGGGCAAGUGGGGUGUGAAAUCUCCCAGCUUAACUGGGAGAGGCCAUUCCAAACUGCUUGACUGGAGGGCAGUAGAGGUAGGCGGAAUUCCGGGUGGAGUGGUGAAAUGCGUAGAGAUCCGGAGGAACACCAGAGGCGAAGGCGGCCUACUGGGUCAGUACGUGACGCUGAGCCGCGAAAGCCAGGGGAGCGGAAC
rnacentral:rRNA from 1 species